rnacentral:tRNA from 3 species
GGUCCGUUGGUCAAGCGGUUAAGACGCCGCCCUCUCACGGCGGAAUCAGGGGUUCGAUUCCCCUACGGACUG